rfam:Bacillus thuringiensis serovar tochigiensis BGSC 4Y1 contig00661, whole genome shotgun sequence.
UAGAACUAAUGAUUCGAGAGACAGAAUGAUAGAGUAACGUCUUGAAAUGUUUCCCCUAAGUCUCCGACAUGCAUUAAAUGGUAGGACGUUUAAAUGUGUGAAGCUCGGUGAAGACGGCUAACAGAUACCGUAGUAAAAAAAUAUAUUUUAACCGAAAAUCCUUUUAGUAAAAGGAUGUAUCCCAUAGGCCGGGGGUCCGUAAA